AACGUAGGAGACGAGCGUUAUCCGGAUUUACUGGGCGUAAAGCGCGUGCAGGCGGCAUGGCAAGUUGGAUGUGAAAGCUCCCGGCUUAACUGGGAGAGGUCGUUCAAUACUGCCAGGCUUGAGAGUGGUAGAGGGAAGCGGAAUUCCGGGUGUAGUGGUGAAAUGCGUAGAUAUCCGGAGGAACACCAGUGGCGAAAGCGGCUUCCUGGCCCAUUUCUGACGCUCAGACGCGAAAGCUAGGGUAGCAAACGGG
rnacentral:rRNA from 3 species